CAACCCCGUAACCAACGCCCGAGGCCAGCGGAGGCCAUUUGCGCUCCUUCCCGGCCAGUCUGAGACUCGCGCCCCUUUGUGGCCAUUCUGAGAGUUGCGCUGAUUUUGGCAGGUGCAGUCAAUUGAUCUCAGCCAAAUUGGCUUUAGCUUUGCAAUCAAUUGAUCUCAGCCAAAUUGGCUUUAGCUUUGCCUUGCUUACGGGGUUGGGUUAGCUUUGCUUUGUUUGUUUGUACCGCAGGGCUAACCCAACCCCGUAACCAACGCCCGAGGCCAGCGGAGGCCAUUUGUGCCCCUUCCCGGCCAGUCUGAGACUCGCGCCCCUUUGUGGCCAUUCUGAGAGUUGCGCUGAUUUUGGCAGGUGCAGUCAAUUGAUCUCAUCCAAAUUGGCUUUAGCUUUGCAAUCAAUUGAUCUCAUCCAAAUUGGCUUUAGCUUUGCCUUGCUUACGGGGUUGGGUUAGCUUUGCUUUGUUUGUUUUUGUACCGCAGGGCUAACCCAACCCCGUAACCAACGCCCGGGGCCAGCGGAGGCCAUUUGCGCUCCUUCCCGGCCAGUCUGAGACUCGCGCCCCUUUGUGGCCAUUCUGAGAGAUGCGCUGAUUUUGGCAGGUGCAGUCAAUUGAUCUCAUCCAAAUUGGCUUUAGCUUUGCCUUGCUUACGGGGUUGGGUUAGCUUUGCUUUGUUUGUUUGUACCGCAGGCUAACCCAACCCCGUAACCAACGCCCGGGGCCAGCGGAGGCCAUUUGCGCUCCUUCCUGGCCAGUCUGAGACUUGCAUUUACUUCAGGUGGGCUGAGAUCUGCUCUGCUGCUGAGGUGGGCUGCAGUACAUAAUGUUAGUGUGAAUGUAAUGUCAUUUAUUGGAUGUGGAUGCUUUUUGACCAUUGUCUUGUUAGUCUGACAUAUGUGUUAAUGUUAACCAUGCCAUAAAAUGUAUGGAAUAUGUGGGUGCUGUGCCUGUAAACAGUGUCUUAGAACAUGGAAUUGUACAGAAUAGCUGUUUGCGUUUGUCAACAUCCAAGAGAUUCUGUAACGUGGGUACACUUGUAUGAGUCAUGUCUUGAGGAAAGAGUGCUGCAAUAAACUAGUACUUGCGUAAU
rnacentral:lncRNA from 7 species